rnacentral:rRNA from 1 species
AGUGAACGCUGGCGGUAGGCCUAACACAUGCAAGUCGAACGGCAGCACAGUAAGAGCUUGCUCUUACGGGUGGCGAGUGGCGGACGGGUGAGGAAUACAUCGGAAUCUACUUUUUCGUGGGGGAUAACGUAGGGAAACUUACGCUAAUACCGCAUACGACCUACGGGUGAAAGCAGGAGAUCUUCGGACCUUGCGCGAUUGAAUGAGCCGAUGUCGGAUUAGCUAGUUGGCGGGGUAAAGGCACACCAAGGCGACGAUCCGUAGCUGGUCUGAGAGGAUGAUCAGCCACACUGGAACUGAGACACGGUCCAGACUCCUACGGGAGGCAGCAGUGGGGAAUAUUGGACAAUGGGCGCAAGCCUGAUCCAGCCAUACCGCGUGGGUGAAGAAGGCCUUCGGGUUGUAAAGCCCUUUUGUUGGGAAAGAAAAGCAGCAGGUUAAUACCCCGCUGUUCUGACGGUACCCAAAGAAUAAGCACCGGCUAACUUCGUG